rnacentral:lncRNA from 1 species
CUCACCCUCAGUGGCCACUCUGGCUAUCCUCUUCCCUGGCUGUAAUCAUUUUUUGGUGUUAUAUUGCAAAGAUCAUGCACUCUGGAGUCAGAAACCUUGGGUUUCUCUCCAGGUUCAUCUGGGGAGAUCUUGCCAAAGAAUAAAGACAAAACUGAGGACUACAAAGCCAAGAGAGUAAUGAAGAAAGAGAAAGUUCUGAUGACAUCAUUAGAGGCUCCCAGAACCUGAAAGAACUACCCGUGGACUUUUCAAUUACAUGAGCCAAUGAUUUCCCACUCUCAGCUGUCCUUCCAGAUUUUCAGCCACUUCUGAACAUGGGCAUCUAACAUGUUCUGUGGCGCUGACUUUCCCUCCAGCCCUCAGACUUGCCUUAGUCCCUGUUGUCUGCCAGUUUUUCCCGUAGAAUUGCCAUAUGACCCAGAAAUUCCACUCCUAGGCGAAAUGAAUGGAAAACACACGCACAGACAGACACAUAUUUAUCGUGACACCACACCUGGUGAAUUUUUUUAAAAAUUAUUUUUUGUAGAGACACGGGCCUCCCUAGUCUUUUCAAGGGAAUGGCUCAACUUUGAAGUGCAUUUAGAAAAGCAUGACCUCUCAAUAGGACAUCUUUUACACACCAGAAAGAAAUUAGCCUUAUAGCAGUUUGCCAAGCCACAUCUUAAGCAUUGUGUAUGUGGUGUUUUAAAACCAGGCAAUUCAACAUCACCUGUCAGUGACCUCAUUACAGACAAAAGGCUGGUACUAUGUCUGUGGCCAACCCAUCUGGAAACGUUGAGUGGGACCUAGGCACACGUUCAGGUUUUCCUUGAUGCCAGGGAACUCAGAAAAUCUACCGUAGUCUUAGAUCAUCCCUGAGGCUCCAAAAUAGUAUCUUCAUCCAGGAAUUAGUCUGAGCAUUUUCCUCAUUUUGAACUUUUUUAAAUGUAUGCAUUUAAAAUCUGUUAGCCAUUACAACAGUAAUUCAGAAAUAUCUCAAAUGUUACAUUGAGGGUCCCCAGCAUUUCUGUCUAUUCAUUAUAUGCAAUGCGUCUCAAUCUAGGUCAUCGUAUAUCAGGCACGAAGAUUUCGGGGCAACAUAUUUCAUGAUCUCUUAAUGUUAGUCUUGAUGAUGUACUAACAUUUAAAAACUUUCACAAUUUUCAGAUUACUUUCAACGGCAUGUCCUCAAGUGAAUUUGCAUUUCUCUAUUACGCAGUGCAACUUCCGCCUCCCAGGUUCAAGCAAUUCUCCUGACUCAGCCUCCUGAGUAGCUGGGAUUACAGGUGUGCCCCACCACGCCUGGCGAAUUUUUGUAUUUUUCGUAGAGACAGGGUUUCACCGCAUGCAAAUCAGGGGUGUUAAACAGACUACUGUCUUGGUGAUGAGGUCUGGAGAAGACAGAACCAAGUAAACCUCUUAUAAGGUGGGGUGGGGAAAUCAGGGUUGUUUCAGACUUUUCUAAAACAAUAGUCAAUGCUAGAAGAUAAUAAAACAAUUUCUAUAACAUUUUCAAGGAAAAUGUGGCAGAAGUCCCUCAGCUGUGGAAAGCUCUGCGCCUUCAGGAAGGAUGUUGACAGGCUCUUUCGAGGUGCUGCUAGGGGUCUGCAGGAUGAGACAGUCAGGGGGCCUAAAGAAGGGAAUCGGAUUCCUGGAGAAAAGCUGCUUCUUAUUUUUGCUGCUAAGGACAAAUGUAGAACGCGUCGCUGCACUCCAGCCUGGCGACACAACGAGACUCCGUCUUAAAAAAAAAAAAAAGCCAAAACUCUAUGAAAAAAGUACACAUUUUAAUAUAGCAUUGGGUUAAAUUUUCAGAGGGAAAAAUAUGUCACAAUAAAGGCUAAGUUAAAAAAAAAAAGGCUAAGUUCCAACAAGCAUAAGAAAAUAUAAGAAACUACUGCUUACAAAGAGAGGGAAAUUAAAGUUUUAAAACAUUGCAUUUUAUAGUUGAAGCAGAUCACUGGAGUGAGAAGGUUCUUUUUUUUCUUUUUUGAGAUGUAGUUUCACUCUUGGUUCUGAAAAAGAAGCUGAUUCAGGACUGGUAUAAAUAGGAAAAGAAAUGACAGAAGCUACCAGCUGCAGAGGAAAUGAAAACUUACAAGCAGAGAAGUGAAGAAAUGUUGAAUGAAUUAUGGCCAACAGUGAGAUCUCACCACCCCAGAAUCUCUUGGGGUUCUGGAGGGAGCUCGCCCUUGAGAAUCAGAGGUCCCCAAGGCUCUGCUUCUGACCUGAAGUCAUCCCUGCUUCGAAUCCAUUUCCAUUUCCCAUUUUUUAUUUGCUUAGGCUGUCCUGAAAUUGUGCUUUUUUUUUCUUUUUUUGAGACGGAGUCUCGCUCUUGUUGCCCAGGCUGGAGCGGGAUCUCGGCUCACUGCAAGCCCCGCGUGCCCGGCCAAAAUUGUGCAUUUUGAGUCACACAUGAAGAAGACUCUGAAGAUGAAGCCAUCUGAAGUAUUACUUGCCUGUUUUAUUUAGCAUCAAUUCCAGUAAUUAACAAAUUAAACAUUAUGAAACUGCUGUGACUGGAAUGCCACUCCCUGGGACUUGUUCCUUUGUGCUACGAGUUGCCUUUAUCCUAGAAACCUAUUUAAAUCAUAGGCCUGGCUGACCUUCCCAGGACAAUGCAGGUGACUGCAGUCCUCCUCCUGGUGAAUGGGACAGUCACUGGGGAGUCCUACAGGCCUUUGGAAGUAUUGCCGUACAGCCGGGCACACCCAGCUUUCAUCCUUGCAAAUGGCAUUAGAAGCCAUGGGAUGUAUCUGACAAAUACUUCCCGUGCAUCAGGCAGUGUUCUAGGCAUCGGGAAGACAGCAGCAGACGAAUCAGACAAAAGUCUCAGUCCUCCAGGAGCAAACACGGCAGGUGAAGCUGUAAAGUUAGAAGAGCGCGAUUCCUCAGGUCGGCAGUUUCCCAUGUUUUUGUUGUUUCCUGCUCGUUGCCCUUUAUUGGAUUUUUUAUGCCAAUUUCACUCUUUUCCAUACCUUCCUCUUUUCUCUGUUAAAUAGAGUGUGGUGAGACUGAGUAAUUAAAGGCUGCAGAUGACUUUGAUGACAGUGUAAUGAAAAGUCUGUGACAGCUUAUUAGACCAAGUGCCAUCAAGGUUAUUUGAGUCACACUGACACUUUCAAUAAUGACACUGUUCCAUCCCUGACCUGACUUCCCUUCGUCGCCCCUUUUUGUUCUCUCUUUCUCUCUCUGAAUGAUUGUAGAUUACCUGGCACAGGAAAGUAAGUAACUGAUACUGGGGGGAAAAAACCAAACAAACAAAUAAACAAACUCUCAGCCUAAAAACCCAUGUCUUUAGUCAUUGUAGGAUCCUCACCAAGGUGAUCUCUAAAUCAAAAGGCAGGCCCUCUUGGCAGGUCACUGUUUUUACAACAGCAAUUUGAUUUUAGAAGGCAGCAGGAGGCAGCUUAAUUCACUCAGAAGAGGAGUUGCCCACCCAAAUUUGCUUCCUCUGCCUUUUGCAGACUUGAGCUAAGAGGCUUUUUAGUAGAGACGGGGUUUCACCGUGUUAUCCAGGAUGGUCUCGGUCUCCUGACCUCGUGAUCCACCCACCUCGGCCUCCGAAAGUGCUGGGAUAUUUAAAAUAAGUGGUCACAGACUUUGUAAAUCUUCUGUCUCUAGGACAUGGGUGUUGCUCCUUCACCUUGCUGCUUGUUCUCUGGGUGCUCCAAAAAUUAUUUUUUAUUUUUAUUUUACUGUAAGUUCUGGGAUACAUGUGCUGGACAUGCAGGUUUAUUACAUAAGUAUACGUGUGCCAUGGUGGUUUGCUGCACCUGUCAACCCGUCGUCUUAGGUUUUAACCCCCCCGCAUUAGGUAUUUGUCUUAAUGCUCUCCCUCCCCUUGCCCCCCACCCCAACAGGCCCCGUGUGAUGUUCCCCUCCCUGUGUCCAUGUGUUCUCAUCGUUCAGCUCCCACUUAUGAGUGAGAACAUGUGGUGUUUGGUUUUCGGUUCCUGUGUUAGUUUGCUGAGAAUGAUGGUUUCCAGGUUCAUCCAUGUCCCUGCAAAGGACAUGAACUCAUUCUUUUUUAUGGCUGCAUAGUAUUCCAUGCUGUAUAAGUUCCACAUUUUCUUUAUCUA